GUGAAUCAUCAAAUUUUUGAACGCAAAUUGCACUCUCUUUGGAGAGUAUGCCUGUUUGAGGGUCAGUAAUAAUAAAAUCGGGGUGUUGCUCUUUUGUGACACAACGGGGUUUUGGCUACCUUUAACUUUCGGGUGUAAGUGACUUAAAAUUGAACUUUUUUUCGCACUUUUAUUCGUACAUAAAUUUAUUUUUAUCGUAUAUUCUUGUGCCAAUUAUCUAUUAGGUACGAUCAUGUUUAUAUGAUCUCGUUCCUGU
rnacentral:misc_RNA from 1 species